rnacentral:rRNA from 1 species
AUUGAACGCUGGCGGCAGGCCUAACACAUGCAAGUCGAACGGUAACAGGAAACAGCUUGCUGUUUCGCUGACGAGUGGCGGACGGGUGAGUAAUGUCUGGGAAACUGCCUGAUGGAGGGGGAUAACUACUGGAAACGGUAGCUAAUACCGCAUAACGUCGCAAGACCAAAGAGGGGGACCUUCGGGCCUCUUGCCAUCGGAUGUGCCCAGAUGGGAUUAGCUAGUAGGUGGGGUAACGGCUCACCUAGGCGACGAUCCCUAGCUGGUCUGAGAGGAUGACCAGCCACACUGGAACUGAGACACGGUCCAGACUCCUACGGGAGGCAGCAGUGGGGAAUAUUGCACAAUGGGCGCAAGCCUGAUGCAGCCAUGCCGCGUGGAUGAAGAAGGCCUUCGGGUUGUAAAGUACUUUCAGCGGGGAGGAAGGGAGUAAAGUUAAUACCUUUGCUCAUUGACGUUACCCGCAGAAGAAGCACCGGCUAACUCCGUG